rnacentral:rRNA from 1 species
UACGUAGGGGACAAGCGUUGUCCGGAUUUACUGGGCGUAAAGAGCGCGCAGGCGGUCGUUCAAGUCGAGUGUGAAAGCCCCCGGCUCAACUGGGGAGGGUCAUUCGAUACUGAUCGACUCGAAGGCAGGAGAGGGAAGUGGAAUUCCCGGUGUAGUGGUGAAAUGCGUAGAGAUCUGGAGGAAUACCAGAGGCGAAGGCGGCUUGCUGGGGUGGCAUUGACGCUCAGACACGAAAGCAUGGGGAGCGAACGGG